UAAAUAAAGCCCAAGUCUCGGAAGUAUAC
rnacentral:piRNA from 1 species